UGAGGAAUAUUGGGCAAUGCCCGCAAGGGUGACCCAGCAACGCCGCGUGGAGGAUGAAUGUCGUAAGAUUGUAAACUCCUGUUAGAGGGGAAGAAUAGUACCGGUUGGACCGGUAUAUGACUGUACCCUCAGAGAAAGCCCCGGCUAACUACGUGCCAGCAGCCGCGGUAAUACGUAGGACCCAAGCGUUGUCCGGAUUUACUGGGUGUAAAGGGUGCGCAGGCGGAUGGGUAAGUCAGGGGUGAAAGUCUGCAGCUUAACUGUAGAAUGGCCUUUGGUACGGCUCGUCUUGAGUGUGGGAGAGGUUGAUGGAAUUCCAGGGGUAGCAGUGAAAUGCGUAGAUAUCUGGAAGUACACCAGUGGCGAAGGCGGUCAACUGGCCCAUAACUGACGCUCAUGCACGAAAGCGUGGGGAGCAAACA
rnacentral:rRNA from 1 species